UCUCCGUAGGUGAACCUGCGGAGGGAUCAUUCACAUUAUAAUAAUCCAAACCUAUCCACCCAAUCUGUGAACUGUUCUGCCGUGUGAUACCCUUUAAUGAUUUAGCUAUCGAUAUGCGGCCUUGGAUUGAGUGUGCUUUUUUUGCACGCUAAACCCAUAUCGAUCUUACUGCAGGUGCGCGCAUUUCUGUGUGUGUACGCUGCAGUCUAUCUAGAGGGAGGAAGCGGCCCAUCUCUAAUUCAAUGGCUGUGUACUGUUGACUUUCCACAACAUGCACAGUUUUUCAUUGGUUGGGGGAGACCCCCAAGACAACGUUUUGCGUGCUCUGUCUGUGUGUGUGUGUGUGUGUCAUGACAUACGCACACACACACGCUUCAGUGUUUCACAAAACAUUCGUUUCUUAACAUUUGAUAGCUUAGUUAAAGAGGAAUACCUCUUCAACUGUAGCUGACUGUCCAUUGUUUGAACAAAACCUUGGCACAUGUCUUGAUCGAAACGAAUAGAACAACUCUAUGCCCUGGAUAUCUUGGUUCUC
rnacentral:misc_RNA from 1 species